GACAGGGCCAGCACUAAGACCUCCAGGGGCCGGGGCCUUUAGCUCCAAGCCUGGGGUGGGCUCUGGGGCAGAAGCAGCCAUUGUCACAGUAGCUCAGUGACAGCUGCACUCUGGAUUAAGGACAACCAGAGUGUCUGGUACAAAGAGAAAUCAAAAAGGUGCAAAGUACACAUGGGCGGGCUGAGCUCAGUCAGCUUCUGCCUCCCAGCCUUCCCAUACUUCUAAAUUUGCCACGGUAGACCUGGACAGCGUAGAGGCGAGGCACCGCUCGAGGGGGUGGGGGAAGAGACAGACAGGCGCUUCCAGGAAGCCUUCCCUGUUCCUUGGGCCUCUGAGCUAAUUUCUUGGACCUUGAAAAAUAGUUAAAUUGUAUCCGUGUCCAUCUUCCUCAAGAGCAAGCCCUCAGAGGACAGGAAUCGGAAUGUGCCUACUGUAUCCGAUUUUUCCUCUGCACUCACUGGAGAAAGAAUCUUGUUGCAUCCAAGAAACCCCCUCUGGAUCAUCCAAUUCUGUUCCAGCUGCCCACCAGUUCCCAGAGCCACAAAGGCUUUCUCCUUCCCUCUGCCUUGACCUCUGGCCUCUCCUCUAUGGAGGUCAUAAGUGACUCUCAUCCGCUGACCUAGGACUCUUUUCUUGCAACCCAGCCUGCAUACUGAGAAAUGGCAUCUGAAAGCAGCUGAGAGGAAGACCAGGUGCAUGGGAGGUGCCCACCACUGGCCCUUGACUCAACGUCUCCCCUUCACAACUCUUCUUUUUUAUUUUUACAAAUUUGCCAAUUUUUAAAAAGAUGGCGAAAGAAGAAACCCUUCCUGUUGUUUGCUGGGGAAGGAAGGUGAGGGUGGUAUCCCCUGGGUGGACUUUCUCAGUAAUGCAACUACAGAAAAGAGGAGAACAAUGACUUCUCUAAGACAUACAAGGAUCUGCACAGAUAAAGAUACAUUUGGGGAGUCCUGAAGCUCCCAGAAUCCUAGAGACCGUUGCUAACAGCCUUCGGAGGUCACUCCAAGCUGCUCACUUUACAGAUGAAGAUCAACCCCCAAAGAUGAAGGGAGUUGCUCUGCUGCAGCCAGGCAACAGCAAAGCAGGAAACACGGACCCUGAUGCCCUGCCUGCGUCUAGAAACGUCUACUGAACCCACUGCUAAUUGCAGUGAGGGAAUAUUAUAAUGAAAACGAGUCAACUUCCUGUCCUUCAGGAAUCCACAAUCAAGUGAGGGAAAAAAGGUACAUGCACAUUAAAAAUUACAAAUAAAAAUCCUGCAGACACUUGGCAGACUGGCCCCGCUGCCUGCCUAUCAGGGGCUGUCCCCCAGCACGUGGCUGGACGCCCAUCCUGAGUCUGAUGUGCUAUCUCAGAUCCUUGGUGAGGAGACAGGACCCUCCGACAGCCAUCACAACGCGCCACCCCGCCCGACACCCAACACUGGCUGCCAGAGGAGAGCCCUGUGCCAAGUGCUCCCACAGCUCCCGUCCCGGCAGAUUCUUUGGAAACUGGCCCUACCCUGGCACCCGAGUGAUCCAGGGAUGACCUCAUUUUCUCCUGCCAACUGUAAAGAAUGAAGCACCUUACGCAACCUCACAAGGAAAGUGCUUGGCAGAAAGCCAACAAAGGGCUUGAAGUCCCAGAGAGGCUCCUGUCUAGUUUCAACACCAGGGCGACUUCACUGAAUGUCUAAGAAGGUGUCAUUGACUCCCAUGCGGGAGGAAUUCAAGGAAGUCAUCUAGUUCUGGGGCAGAUAAACUCCUAAAAGGGCCAGGAAAAAAAAUUUAUGAUGUUUCUUAAUAUGAGCAGUUGAAAGCUGCUAUUCGGGCAAAAGUUAAUAAGUUAGUUUCUAUGUGUGUCAGACGGCCUGGGUUCUACAGUGGCCUCCAGCACCAGUUUGCUUAGCAACCUGCAACAAUUCUCUCUGUUUGUCUAGGGUCUGAGUUCCCAAUGUGCAAAAGGGCGGGGGUGAACUAAAAUAUCUCUCAGCAGCUGUCUAGCUCGAAUAUUCCAGGAAUCAACUCACGUACUUCCUUAUGAGACAACGGCUAAUUUCUAGUCUUUUCCAACAUAUCAAAAGCAUCUGAAGAACAGAGCGUUCCAAGUGAAUCCUGCAUAUCACUGAGGGAGAAGGGACAGAAUGCAGGGACUGACAACUUCCCGGAUCCCUCCCCAUCAGCCGAGAAACCACUCUGUUGCUUACUUGGUACAGACGCUCAAUUUAUUUCAAACCUUCUUUACAUUGUGUCUAAAAACUGAAGUUAACCCAUAGCAGAUUAUUGCUAAGAAAACUGCUCAAAAAGAAGCUGGAAUCUAUAGAUCUAAAGUCUAAAAACCACCGCAGGAUGUGGAAGAUGUGGCUUGGCAACUGCACGCACGUUGAAAAGGAAGAAAACAACUCCACUUACGGGUUCGAGUUGAUGAGAAGCUGAACAGAAGUUCAUGAUAUAAUAAUAGAUGCCAAAUGAGCUAAUGCAAUUCCAGGUUGCUAGGAUGAGACAGAACCCCACAAAGAUGGUAGCGCUGUUCUUGCCAUGCAGCUUUCUGUUUCAGGCGGCACACGAUAAAGGGAAUAAUGACCAACUGUGGUCUAGCGAGAGGACAGCACCAGGCCGGGGAGGGGAUGGAAACCAACUAAAUGAGGCACGGUCGGAAGCACAGAGGUUCAACCAGGAGAACCGGCAACUGCGGAGGACUGCUCAGCCACCAAUGCCAACACACCGAUGCCCGGGAGCGUGCGAGAGGGAUGGCAGACUCGGCCGGGACACAGAACUGGAAGGCAUAUGUGAAAAGAUGCCAAGGAGUGCGUCAGUCUGAGGACCUGAAUUAACCUGCGGGCAAGAUUGCAACAACAGGAGUGUCAACGCACGUAGGUGAGACCCAGGUACACUCCUUGCAAGCAAAUGCUGCUCACCCAGAAGCACAUUGAAAGAACAGGCUUUAAACAUAUUAUAUGGCUUUAAUGUAAGGGAGACUUCCCACUGGUGUGUGAUGGCCAGUGGGGCACCAGAAAUGGGCUAUAGGGGCUGAGACAUUGAUCCUCUCACCCCUUGGAGCAGCCAGGUGGGUCCCGAGGUGGCUGGAGCUCCUGAGACAAUUUCCUCCAGUUGUGAGCAGGCUUGUUUUUUAAUCCCGAGGAUCUAUAAAGUGUUAUCCUUUUCUACAUGUGUUGUGGUAUAGAAAAGCUUGGAAAGCACUGGAGAAGUAGGGUGUUCAUAUGAUAUUUUGUGUAAAUGGAGACAUUUUUGAGGAUGAAAGGGGCUGUAUUAAUAUGUACGCCAGGACCCCAGGCAUAUAGUGGGACUCUUCUAGGUAAACCGGGAUGUACGGCGGAGGAGCAGGUUAAUCCCCCCAAAGACAUUUACGUCCUAGUCCCCACCCCCUGUGAAUGUGUUACCUUAGAUGGCAGAAGAGACUUUGCAGGUGUGAUUAAGUUGAGGAUCUUGGGGUGAGGAGAUUAUGCUGCAUUAUCUGGGUGGCCUGAUGUCAUCACAAAGGUUCUUAUAGGAAGGAGGAAGGAAGGUCAAGAAGAAGAAGAUGCUCUUCUGCUGACUUCGGAGAUGAAGGAGCCACAAGCCAAGGGAAUGGGGGAGGCCUCUAGGAGCUAGAAAAAGGAGGAAGCAGAUUCUCGCCGGAGCCUCCACAAAGAAGGCAGCCCUGCCAACAUCUUGACUUUGGGACUUCUGUAAGGGUCAACAAGCCCUUUCUGGGCCAUGGGGAUGCAGUGAUGCAGCACCGGAGGCCAGCACCUGCACUUGGCUCUGGGACCACACCCACUGGAGGAGGUUUUGCUUCUGGAAAAUAAGAUUCAGGACCCUGCCCAGUUUCCACUCAUCCUUUAUAGGGGGAUGUUCGUGAUCACCACCCUGUGCAUAAGCCUCAGGCCUUGGCUACCUCAAGUUUGGGGUCACCACCCAGGCAAGCAUCACCCUCAACCUCCCCAACUGUUGGUGAGUGAGAUCAGGCCUCAAGUCAGAAGGAUGCCAUGCAGGUGGGGCUGGCUUGGCUUCCGCUUAUCAGAGGAGAGUAGCAAGGUAUGAAUGAGGAUCGUCUCCAGCAUGGAGAAGAGAUGCCAGGAAACUGAACUGUGGAAAGAGGUAGACCGGAUAAAUCAGGAGACCUGGAUUCUUGUCCAACAUGGCCAAUUAAUUCUCCUGUGUUCUGGGCAAGAUAUUUCUCCUCUCUAUACUUCAGUUUCCCAAAGAAAGGGAUUAGACCAAAUGGUUUCUGAGUGCCUUCCCAACUUUGACUGAUGUGUUAGUCAGUUCUCUCAUUUGCAAGUGACUGAAAACCAAUCCAAACUGGCCCAAGUUUUAAAACAAAAAGCAGACAGAAGUCCUUGCACAUAUCUGACUUCAGGCAUGGCUGGAUCCAGCUACUUAAAUGGUAUCAUCAGGACUCAGUCUGUCUCUAUCUCCUAGGUUUAUUUUUCUCUGGGUGGGCUUUAUUCAAGUAGACUUCACACGCACACAGUGGCAGAUAACUGCUGGCAGCCUCUCAGUUACCGGCCCUUCUCUCAUCAACCUUGAUGUAAAGAGAGUUUCUCUUUUCCAAAAGGCCCAUUGAAAGCCUUGGGAUUAAUUCUAAUCCCCACAGCUUGGGUCACAUGUCCAUUCUGAACCAGUCCUAUGGCCAGCAGAUGAAGUAUGCUGAUUGGCUGGGCCUAAAUCACAUGCCUUAGUGGGAUGGGGUCAGGAGUUCCCUGAACCUAGCGAGCUGAGAGUGAGGACAGGGUGACUUCAGGUUAACUGAAGAGGUAAUGGUUGCUGGGUCAAUUAAUCCAACCAAGGUCCCUUAGAACAUAUCAUAAUUACGGUGAAAUCUGGGGACCACAGAUCAUCUCAUAGACACUCUUACAACUUCUCAGGAAGCCAGGCAAGAUGUGGGGAUCAUUGCAAAGGGCAGUAAGGGGGAUGUCACUAGAGGGUGGCCAGCAGCCUCUUCUCCUUUUGCUCACCAUCUUGACUUUCUAAAAGCGCUCAGGUUCUCAGGCACAUGGACCUUUUCUCGUAUUCUGUUCCCUGCUCUGAGCCCUCACAUUAACAUCCUCACUGGGAAUGUGCUGUGUCUGUGCUCAGGGUGAAUACGAAUGUGUUGGGUCCUUACAGGCAGAUACAGGAAGCGUCAAGUGAUGAGCUACAGCUGAGCGCUGUCUACCUGGGGGCCAGGAUUGGUGCAAGGAUCCCGUGAGGUCUUCCAGAGGCUACUGGUAUCUGUAGAUGGAUCUUUCUGAUUCCCUUGGUCGUCCGCAGUUUGAACCAGUCUGUCAAGCUCCUCUCCUUGGGCCGUAUGUGCCUCUCCUACCCCUGCAAUUCCACGUCCCCUUGGAGAUCAUCACACCAUUCACCAUGUCCCGGGUGCUGAAGCGCCGGCCUUCGUGGUAAACCUGGACGUCCACCCUGCCAUGGUCUGUCUGACCAUGAGUAAAAGGCAAGCAGCCUUGCUUCUCUCCUGCCCCUCCACCAAACCCCAGAAGUUUCCAGGAGUCAGGCCGCCAGGACCUCCCUAGCGCAAUGCAAAGUUCCAGGCACAGUAGAUGUUUGUGGAAUUAAGGUGAACCUAAGUGGGACUCAUCCGUUAGGUUCUUUGGUGGCAAGCAAGAGAAUACAACUCUGGCCAAGAAGCUAAAACAAAGGGAAUUGGGGGUUCCUAACAGAGUCGAAGGAAGAGCUAAAGAAGCAGAUGUCGAAAAAGACCAAAACCGGGCAAAGCCUGAGAUUGGAGUCAGAGGAAUUAAGAGACUCUGCCUCUGAGAUAAAUUUCUUCCAGCUGUCUUCCAUCCUUGGGCUCUCUGCUCAAGAUGCAAAUUCUAUGGAGAGAGAGUCCAAUCACACAUGCCCAUCCAGUGGGCAAGGAAUGGUGGGGAAUUCUGAUUGACAAUGCCACCAAGAACGCCAUGCAGUGAGAGAGGGAUGAUACCUCAAGUCAAACAUGGGGUUCUGCACCAAAAGAAGGGGGAAUCAAUGGUGGGGAUGUUAAUAGCAGCAGUCUACUUUGUGUGGACAUCACCAUCCAGAUGACAGAUGUCACCAGGUAAGGGUAGCUGUGAGAAACAGGGAAGAGUCAGAUAUGACAUUAGCCAACUUAGAGAAAUGGUCACAGCAUCUUGAAGUACUAAAAACAGCGAAAGUUGUAGAUCAGGAGGAAACUAAGUUCAACACCCAGCUCUCUAUUUUUAAAAGGCUUAAUCUGAGAACCUGAACAAUGAUCCCUGAGCUUCCUGGAAUUGUGUGCAAACACGGUAUGCAAAGGCAUGCGUUAUUGUUGGUUUGUUGUGGUUGCCAUUGUUUUGGGGUGUUUUUUUGCAAGGAGAAUCCCUAGUUCCCACCGACUUGUGAAAGUGGUCUGUAAAACAUUAUGAGUCUGUUAACAAGGAGGCUGCCCUCUCUCAGACAGGCCCCAGUCAGAAUCUCCCUCAUCGGAGCUGUGGGGCGCCAUCUUGGUUGCUAUUUCUACCAGGCACAUGGAUGAGGAUGGAAAUAGCCCCACUUUCUCAAUUUGAAAAAUGAGAGUCCAGAGGAAACCGUCUCAGGCAUUUUCAGUUUAGAUGGUGAUUAUGGAUUCUUUCUCCUUGGAAAUUCCCAGGAUCUCCACAAUCUGCUCAGAACUAGGUAAAAAAUGUGGUUUUCUCUCACAGCCUACCAUGAGCGAUUUGAGCAGGGGCCAUGGCCACAAAAGGGUGCACAGUUCAGUCUAAAGUUCCCCAUCUCCAGGGAGCGAGGGCCCAGGGUAGGCACAUUUCCAAAUUUACAAGAAGCCAGAAAACUUGAUUUUAUGUAUAUGUAUGUAACUUUUCCAAUUUUUAAAUAGUUGUAGCUAAUUCAAAUUGUUUUUUUUUUUAAGAUGUGGCCCUCAGGUGGCCAAUUUGCAACUAGGAUCUAGAUUUCAUUCCCAAGGUAUUUAUGAGGGCUUCUGAGCCUCUCUCUCUCUCCUCUCUCAUAUACCCAAAUGCACACAUCCUCACUCUUAUUUAAAGAAAAUGAGAUUGCUUGAUAAAAGAGGUUUCCUUCUGUUUCUUCUGGCUUUGUAUUCUUUGUUGGAAGAUCUUCAGUUUCCCCAGUAAGGUGGUUUUAAGUCUAUAAAUGGCAAGAGUGGAACUGCUUAUAUUGUGAGGUUGGAAUAAGCAUUAAUGAAUGAGAUGUUGAGGGGGACAUAUUUUAAGCUCAGUAGAACAGAGAACUGCCUUCUGCUGGAUGAGAAGGGAAUAGUGAAUGCCCCAUCUCUGAAAGUAUUUAAGCAGAGGUAGGUCAACCACUCAUCAAGGGAGGAGUAGUUCUGCUAUAUGGCUUAUGAGAGGUUCCUUCCAAGUCUGAGAGUCCCUUUAUUUACCUAAUAAAUCAGUAAAAAAAAAAAAAAAUUUGGUGAUUAAAUUACUGAAUCUAAAGGAUGAUGUUUUUGUAGCCAUUGUCUGAGGCAUUGUAAAUAGUAGAUUGUGGAUGUCAUGAAACAUAUCUGUGUGGCCUGAAUACGUUUACUCUGGAUGCGUAGACUGUUUUCUACACCUUGUCUGACUGAAAUACAUAACCCGCAGAUUUCUCUUCCUCCAUUGUUUCUUACUGACUCACCUCUAAAAUUUAUGAACUCAGUUGGAGGUACACUGAGUCAAACCUCUCCAGCAAGUAACCAGUAAUUCAUGGAGCAUCAGAUAAGGGAGCUGAGGGCCAGAGACCAGAGGCUGCAUGUUGGGUUACCCAGAGAUUGAGUUUCAGAGCCAGGACUAGAACAUAGGUCUCCUGAUCUCUGAGCUAGGGGCUAUCAUGUCAUGCAGGUUACACUAGGAGGGUUUCUGUAGUAUAAAAACAUUUCACAAAUUUAUGUAGAACUUCAGAAAUUAAGACAUUUACCAUGACUGGGGUAAGGUUGUUCUUAACAUUCCCUUAUUAUCCUUUUAAUGUCAGUAGGAUCUGUAGCGAUGUCCCAUCUUUCAUUUCUGUUAUUGGUGAUCUAUGUCUUCUUCCUUUUUUUCUUGAUCAGUGUAGGAAGAGCUUUAUCGAUUUUAUUGAUCUUUCCAAGCAAAUAGCUUUUGGUUUUAUUGAUCGUUUUUCUGUUUUCAAUUUCCUGGAUUUCUCCUGUUAUGUGUGUUAUUUCUUCACUUCAGCUUGCUUUGGGUUAAAUUUUUAUUUCUAGUUUCUUGACAUGGGAGCUUAGAUCAUUGAUUAGCAUAAGCAUUUAAUGCUAUAAAAUUUCCUUUAAGCCUGCAUUAAUACAGUAUUCACUAACCACAUGUAGUUAUUAAGUCACUUGAAAUGUGACUAGUCUGAAUUGAGAUGUGCCAUAGUGUAAAAUAAACACCAGAUCUUGAGAAUCUAGUAUAAAAAGUGUAAAAU